AACUUUUGACAAUGGAUCACUAGGCUCUUGCAACGAUGAAGAACGCAGCGAAAUGCGAUAAGUAAUGUGAAUUGCAGAAUUCCGUGAAUCAUUAAAUCUUUGAACGCACAUUGCGCUUUCUGGUACUCCGGAGAGCAUGUCUGUUCGAGCGUCAUUAUAACCAAUCCAGCCUAGCUGGGAGUUGGGCCUCGCUAUACAGUGGGCCUUAAAAUCAGUGGCGGUGCUUUUAGGCUCUACGCGUAGUAAAUUUCUCGCUAUAGAGUCCUGAGGAAUACUUGCCAGCAACCCUUUAUUUCUUAGGUUGACCUCAAAUCAGGUAGGACUACCAGCUGAACUUAAGAAUAUCAAUAAGAGGAGGCU
rnacentral:misc_RNA from 1 species